UACGGAGGGGGCUAGCGUUGUUCGGAAUUACUGGGCGUAAAGCGCACGUAGGCGGCUUUGUAAGUUAGAGGUGAAAGCCCAGGGCUUAACCCUGGAAUUGCCUUUAAGACUGCAUCGCUAGAAUUGUGGAGAGGUAAGUGGAAUUCCGAGUGUAGAGGUGAAAUUCGCAGAUAUCGGGAAGAACACCCGUGGCGAAGGCGGCUCUCUGGGACGGUACUGACGCUGAGACGCGAAAGCGUGGGGAGCGAACAGG
rnacentral:rRNA from 1 species